UACGAAGGGGGGCUAGCGUUGCUCGGAAUUACUGGGCGUAAAGGGCGCGUAGGCGGGUCGUUAAGUAGGGGGUGAAAGCCCCGGGCUCAACCUGGGAAUGGCGAUGGAUACUGGCUCGCUAGAGUGCGGUAGAGGAGAGUGGAAUUCCCGGUGUAGCAGUGAAAUGCGUAGAUAUCUGGAGGAACACCGGUGGCGAAGGCGGCAUCCUGGACCGAUACUGACGCUGAGGAGCGAAAGCCAGGGGAGCAAACGGG
rnacentral:rRNA from 1 species